CUCAGUGAUGGUGCAGCAGAGUCCGUCUCUAUGGAAGUCGUCUCUCAUGUGGAGGAUAUUUAUAGAGCAACAUCAGUGGAGCAGAUUGUUUCUUCAACUGCUGCUGUGGUCUGCAUUUCACCAGCAGUGUCUGCUCGAUGCUCCUCAAAUGACAUGUCUGGAAGAACUUGUUUCAAAACAGCAGUAGUGGGAGCAGAGAUACCAGAGAAACACGCCUCUCCAAACGUUUCUCCACAGACAUCGUUAAUGUCAGCUCAUGUUGGUGAGUCUAUGAGAGGUACAGACAUUUCACCUAAAUCUAGUCUGGACAGGAUUUCCUCUAUUGGUGAAAGAGCAGCAGAAACAUCUUCUAGAGAAGUGAUGUAUAUGGAGGAGAUGCAUAAAGCAUCAAUGGCAGAACUACCAGGGCCUCCAGCUGCUGUUGGAGCUAUUUUACAAACAGUGUCUGCUAGAUGUUCACUAAGUCACAUGGCAGAAAGAGUCCCCUCGGAAACAGUAGUAGAGAGAGACACAUCUUCCAGUGUUCCUCCUAGGGUUUCUCCACAAACAUCUGUGAGCUCAGCUACAGGCUUGUCAUCCAAGUUCAGUCUGGCCAGGGUUCCCUCUGUGUCUCUCAGCGAUGGUGCAACAGAACCAGCUCAGAUAGACAACGAAACACUGUCAAUGGAGGAGCUUAUGACGUCUCCAUUGUAUUCUCAUUGGUCACCAGCCGGUUCGGAAAGUGACUCAUUAGGCUUAAGAGGAGCUCCCUCUGAAACAGCAGUGGAUGGAGCACACAGAGGGUUCUUGGUAAGGAGACCCAGUAGAGAGGAGCGUGUGACGAGAACAGCAGAGACACCAGAGAGAGACACAUCUCCCAGUGUUUCUCCACAGACUUCGUUUACAGGUGUUGUUUCUGAUGUGACAGUUUUCUACAGAGAUUCAUCUGUGGGAGAAUUACAUCUUUCUCCAUCUGUUGGCGAGGAACUUGUGGUGGAGGCUUACGAAGUACCAUCACCCGAGAAGGAGACUCCAUCUGCUUCAGUUGGUGGACCUUCAUCAGUAGUGUCUGCAAGAUAUACUGGAAGUGGUUUAACAAGAAGAGCUUUCUCUGAAAAAGAAGUAACGAGACCAGAGACACCAGAUAGACACACGUCUCCCAGACUUUCAGCUAGAGUUUCUCCACAGUCCAGUCUGACCAGGAUUUCCUCUGCACCAUCAAUGGAGGAGCCACAGAUGUCUCCAACUGCUUCUGUUGGUAGACUUUCACCAGCAGUGUCUUCUGUAAGAUAUUAUGGAAGGGGUUUAUCAGGAAGAGCUUUCUCUGAAACAGAACUAGUUGAUGCAGCACACAGUGCCCCCUCAGUCAGGAUACCCAGUAGAGAGGAGAGUGUGAGGAGAAGAGCAGAGACACCAGAGAGAGACACAUCUCCCAGAGUGUUUCCUAGAUCUUCGCAAAGAGUUUCUCCACAAACCUCUCUCCUAUCAGCUCAUGCUGGUGAAUCUCUGUCUGGUACAGAUAUUUCUCCACAAUUCAGUCUGCCUAGGAUUCCCUUUGCACCAUCAAUGGACAGACCCACAUCUCCCAUAGUUUCUCAAAGAGUUUCUCUACAAUCCAGUCUGUCCAGAAUUCCAUCUGCACCAUCAAUGGAGGAGCUACUGGUUUCUCCAUCUACUUCUGUUGGAAGAAUGUCACCAGCAGUUUCAAGAUCUUCAAAAAGUAGUUUAUCAGAAAGAGCUCCUUCUGAAACAAUCAUAAGAUAUUCUGAAAGUUGUUUAUCAGGAAGAGCUUUCUCUGAAACAAAACUAGUUGAUGCAGCACACAGUGUCCCCUCAGUCAGGAUACCCAGUAGAGAGGAGAGUGUGAGGACAAGAAGAGCAGAGACACACACAUCUCCCAGAGUUUCUCCUAGAAUGUCUCCCAGAACUUCUCCUCGAUCCAGUCUGGCCAGGAUUCCAUCAGCCCCAUCAAUGGAGGAGCCACUGGUGUCUUCAACUGCUUCUGUUUGCAGGAUUCCACCUGCAGCAACAGUGGAAGCAGCACACAGAGGAGAGAGUGUAGCGAGAACAGCAGAGGCACCAGAGAGUCACACAACUCACAGAGUUUCUUUCAGAAUAUAUCCACAGACAUCUAAGACAGGCGUCCUUUCUGAUGUAGCAGUUUUGUACAGACCAUCCAUGACUGCAGGGUUUUGUCUUGAGGUUUUAGACACGGAGUCUGACCAGGUGAAUACGUCGGUGAGUGACAUCACAGCACAAUUUCCCUCUGACACUGCUGCAAUGAAGACAGUACACAGAGAGUCCUCAGGGAGGAUACCUAGUAGAGAGGAGGUUGUGAGGAGAACAGCAGAAACGCAAACAUCUCAUGCAAAUGUAUUGGACAACAGCACACAGGUUUCACAAACUGCAAUCCGCCUUUGUGAAGAGGUGAGUGCCUACCCUAUAGAAGUGCAGCAGGGGACCCUGGGACUUGAAGUUUAUCUAGGAGCAUCUCCAGCCAACGUUGUUGGGCCUCAAAACACGAGAACUCAAAACACACGUUCACAGGGUGUGCAGACUAGUCGAGGUAAAUUUAUCCUCAGAAUACAAUAAUUCAUCUUUAAUAAUUGUUCAAUCAUUGUGUGUGCAGUGAAGUUAUUAGGGGAUUUUUUCCCCCUCCAAUAUAUUUGUGGAAAUUAGGAUGUUCACUUUUGAUGUUGCAUUCUAUUCUCAUAUUAGAUUAUCAUGGCGCGCCCUCACAGAGCGUUCCUAUUGGCGCAGGACGCGUCACUCCUGAUGCUCAGCCUGCACGUGAAAAUUACACCAAUCAGGUCUGGACACUUUACCACUUGGCCAAUGAGACAGAGGAGGGCACACUGUCCGCUAAAGUUAUCUCCCAGCCUCCUUACAAUGGUAGUGCUUAUAUUCGCAACUUUGGGGCUGGACAUGUGUUACUGGCUGAGAGGUCCCCUUCCCCUCAGAAAUCUGACGCCCAGUCCUGGAAUGGCCAACCCAGACAACAGCCCCAGCCACCACCCUUCCUAAUGAGCCCAAGAAGGGCCUUCAUACACAGGGCACAGUCCUCCACCCUACCUCCUCCUUCUCUACCCCAGCCUCCAACCGUCCACAACCAGGAGAUCAACAUCCCCAACUUCUUCAUGCAUCCCCAACUUCUUCCUGUGUUCCCAGGCAAGAUCGUUCGUAGCAUUCCGACCGCGGUGCAGACCAGGUCGAGGUCUGCUGCGGUCCGGGCAGGUGACCCCCCGGGGUACCUGUCAUUCUCCGUUCCCAUGGAGACGGUGAGCAGAGGAUCUGGUCAGGGCGGUCAGGACCAGUUCUUUCAGGUCAUCAGUGAUGAAGGGAACACUGUUUACUCUCCUGCUCUCAUGCACAUUUUCACCACAGAGGAAGAGGAACAGGAAGGAGACAGGAGGCAGCCAACUAGUGCCACAUUUAAUUGGUAGGGGACUGUUUGGUACAGGGUUUCUCAAACUCGGUUUUUGCCCGAACACUACUAAGCUGAUUCAAAUAACCAACAAGUUUUGAUUAUUUGAAUCAGCUGUGCAGGGCAAAACUGAGUUUGGGAAACCCUGGUCUAGUGAGCAUCAAUAAAUACAUUUGCAUAUCAUAACAAAUGUUCUCCCUCUUCAUAUCAUAACAAAUGUUCUCCCUCUUCAUAUCAUAACAAAUGUUCUCCCUCUUCAUAACAAAUGUUCUCCCUCUUCAU
rnacentral:lncRNA from 13 species